rnacentral:snRNA from 1 species
GGAUGUGAGGGCAAUCUGGCUGUGACAUCUGUCACCCCAUUGAUAGCCAGGGUUGAUUUGGCUAAUCUGGCUGGCUAGGCGGGUGUCCCCUUCCUCCCUCACUGCUCCAUGUGCGUCCCUCCCGAAGUUGUGCGCUCGGUCGAAGAGGAAGACCAUCCCCGAUAAAGGAAGACCGUUCUUCGGUCAAGGGCAUAUGAGUAGCCAAGCUCCCCUGAUAGAACCUCCAAACAAGCUCUCAAGAAGCACUUCAGAGCCAGGUGUGGUGGUACCUGUUAGAAAUCCUAGUACUCAGGAAGCAGAGGCAGGAAGAUUGCAGCCCAAGCU